ensembl:lncRNA
GAGACAGAAGAUGUGGAUCUUAGGGAAGAGUGGUGUGAACUUGGCAGAGAUGCUACAUGGCAUAAUCUGAACUCUUGUUUUUCAAAGGAGAGAGCUAUGUUUGGAAAAAGUAAAGCCUUGCCAAGAAGCACACAUGUAAUAAGUGGCAAAACUGAAACCAAUCUUUUUUUUUUUUUUUAAUUUGGGGCAGCGGGGAGUAUUGCAUGUGGACCCACAGCUGGCCUGCGAGUGGCAAGUAGAAAUUUGUUUCUUAGCCAGUGGCGGGCUGGAGCUUCUGGUACCAGUUCCAGAGGGAGGAGUGUUAAACAUUCGGGAUUUUGGCAGGCAGGUUAACCGUGGUAGCUGGAAAUGUGCCAGAGUCAGAGUAUGUACUAAGGUUACAAACCAACCCUCCUUUUUUUUCUUUCCAAAGAGCCAGUUUACCAGCACACCCUUGCCUAGUUCCCUGUGGGGAUCAUUUACAGUCAGGGCAGACGCCAUGUUUCAGAUGAGAAACAACCUCAGUUUGCGGUGUUUUUCAACAGUUGCCAUUUCCAACCCACCGUCAGCAGAUUGCCCAGGGGCUGCCAGCUAGACCUCAUUUUGCACAUCCAACCCCUCAAACCCACCUCCUGCAAUGGCUGGCACUCUCUCUCUCUGGGACUCAUGCACAAAAUGAGCCUACUAUCUCUAUCUUCUGCUGCCCUUGUUUCCAGCUCAGAAUCAGCUCCUUCCUAACUUUUGAACAGUAGAACAUCAGUACUAUAAGAAUAAGACAAGUCUUGGCAAGUGCGUGUAAGAUCAAGAGCAGUAUCUUUAAGAGACUUGCUUUAAAAAAAAAAAAAGAAGAAGACUGUUAAGGCAGCCAAUAAGCAAAUGCCCCCAGGGAUAGUGACUCUAAUUAUUUAAAGUAGGAAACUCUUGUGCAAAUUGCCCAAGUCAUCUCAUUUCAGGCUUCCGUUGUGUGGCUUGGCGGCUUGCUGCUUCAUUCCCAUCAGAGGGCAAAGGCUGAAAGAGAAAGAAAUCUCCGUGACUGAAAGGGAGAGGGACAGGAGACUGGAGAAUUGAUCCUGCCUAUGUGAUGAAGCCUCCUGAACAAUCCCAGAAUUAUGGGCUUCAGAGAACUUCCCAGUCAGGAAGUGCCUGCAGUGGUUUGCCCCUUCCUACGCAGCUUGCCCCAGGUAUCUCUUCAUCUGGCUGUUCACCUGGAUCCUUCAUUAUGUCCUUUAUAAUAAACUGGUAAA